AUGACGAGCGCCGCCCGCAAGCUAGCCCUGGCCCUGGCCGAGUCGGCGCAGAAGGCCAGCGAGGCCGCGCCCCCCCCAGCGGAGGACCGCCGCCUCCUCCGCCCACCACGGCCACCACCGCAGCCCCUCCUACCCGUCCCCCCCGCCCCAGCGCCCGGACGGCCCCCACCCGGCCGACAGGACCCCCCCCACGCGGCCCUCCGUCCUCCACCUGCAGGUGCAGUACUGCGGGCCCCGAGGCGGCCAGUCCGAGCGGGGCUCCCCCCAGCUCCUCUCGGACCCCCACCGCUGCCAACACCCCUCCCACCACCUGCUGCCCACGCACCGCUGUUGCGAGUCCCCGCUGCAGGAGCCCCCGGGGAGCCCCAACGCCAGCCCGCUGGGUUCCGGGGGCCCGGAGGAGGGCCGCCCCAGGAGGCGCUGCCAACGGAGGGACCGGGGCCCGCUGAGGGCCCCCACGACAGAGGAGGAGGACGAGGAGGUGGUCCGAGGGGGCCCCGACGACGGGCGGUGGGCGGAGCCGACCUACCACAACGUGGGCGUGUCCACGCCCACCCAGUCCGCCUUCUGCGCCGUACGGAGCCCGUCCGGCGGCGGCGGCGGCGCCGUCUACGCCAACAGCGACUCGGUCAACGUCUUCAACUUCAGGACCGUCCUGGCCGAGAGCCCCAUGCCCGGCUCGGUGGGGGAGGUCCUGCCCCGGCCGCCCCCGCUCUCCCCCGGCCCCCGCUACGACGAGAGGACGGCCAUGGCGGUGGCGGCGGCCAUGGAGGACGUCUACGGCCGGCGCCACGGCGGCGUCCUGCCCGGCCCCCCGCGGUCGCCCCUCUACCCCCGGCCCGACGCCCUGCCCUUCCACCUGUCCCGCCCCGACGCUGCGUUCCGCCACUCCACGGAGGGCCGCUAUCCCGGCACCCUGGGGCCCAAGCACCCCUCGUCGCCCCAGUACGGCGGCCGCCCCGGCCAUGGCGGCGAGCUGCUGAUGGGCGGCGGCGGCCUCCGGGGGCCGUGGGAGCGUCCGGACGAGGGCCGCCUGCGGCACCCGGCCAUGCGGCGGGCGCGCUCCUUCCACGCGCCGCAAUUCAGCCACUACGAGAUCGCCGAGGCGGAGGUGGUCCCCCCCGAGGCCCUCUACUACGUCCAGAAGCCCCCCGGCUCGGAGCCGCCGUACCGCUGGCUGCUCCAGUCGGACUUCCACCCCUCGGCGCCGUUCGAGGCUGCGCCCGCCCCGUACAGCGGCCGCUACGGCGGCCACUUCCCCACGGACGGCCCCGCCGCCGGGGACCCGCGCUUCUACGGCGAGGCCUUCCGGCCGGGGGGCAUCCGGCACAGCCAGUCCUACACCCUGCGCUCCACCGUGGAGAGCACGCUGGAGCCCGACUACUACCAGCCCCCCCCUCCCCUGCCGCCGCCCCCCCCACCGCCACGCCCCCUCCCCCCACCGGGACCUCUUCCUGGACCGCAGGGAGGCAGUGUUCUACGAGGCCCGGGACGCGGACUCCUUCGGGCGGAGGGUCUACCAGCCGGUCCGGGACCACAACGAGGGGAGGUACCACAGCCCCACGCCAGCCGCGCCCUACCAGCGCCCCUCGCCCCCCCCCGCGGACCCCCGCGGCCGGGAGAUCAUGCACACCAGGAGCCGCUCGGACCCCGGCAACGCCUGCCUGUUCUCUGGGGCCGGCGGCGGGGGGGACCAGCAGCGCGAGGCGUCAGUCGUCACGGUGA
ensembl:lncRNA